rnacentral:rRNA from 1 species
AUGCAAGUCGAACGCUCACCUUCGGGUGGGUGUGGCAGACGGGUGAGUAACACGUGGGAACGUACCCUUUGGUUCGGGACAACUCUGGGAAACUGGAGCUAAUACCGGAUACGCCCUUUUGGGGAAAGGUUUACUGCCGAAGGAUCGGCCCGCGUCUGAUUAGCUAGUUGGUGGGGUAACGGCCUACCAAGGCGACGAUCAGUAGCUGGUCUGAGAGGAUGAUCAGCCACACUGGGACUGAGACACGGCCCAGACUCCUACGGGAGGCAGCAGUGGGGAAUAUUGGACAAUGGGCGCAAGCCUGAUCCAGCCAUGCCGCGUGAGUGAUGAAGGCCUUAGGGUUGUAAAGCUCUUUUAUCCGGGACGAUAAUGACGGUACCGGAGGAAUAAGCCCCGGCUAACUUCGUGCCAGCAGCCGCGGUAAUACGAAGGGGGCUAGCGUUGCUCGGAAUCACUGGGCGUAAAGGGCGCGUAGGCGGCGUUUUAAGUCGGGGGUGAAAGCCUGUGGCUCAACCACAGAAUGGCCUUCGAUACUGGGACGCUUGAGUCUGGUA